UUUGAUCAUGGCUCAGAUUGAACGCUGGCGGCAGGCCUAACACAUGCAAGUCGAACGGUAACAGGAAGCAGCUUGCUGUUUCGCUGACGAGUGGCGGACGGGUGAGUAAUGUCUGGGAAACUGCCUGAUGGAGGGGGAUAACUACUGGAAACGGUAGCUAAUACCGCAUAACGUCGCAAGACCAAAGAGGGGGACCUUCGGGCCUCUUGCCAUCGGAUGUGCCCAGAUGGGAUUAGCUAGUAGGUGGGGUAACGGCUCACCUAGGCGACGAUCCCUAGCUGGUCUGAGAGGAUGACCAGCCACACUGGAACUGAGACACGGUCCAGACUCCUACGGGAGGCAGCAGUGGGGAAUAUUGCACAAUGGGCGCAAGCCUGAUGCAGCCAUGCCGCGUGUAUGAAGAAGGCCUUCGGGUUGUAAAGUACUUUCAGCGGGGAGGAAGGGAGUAAAGUUAAUACCUUUGCUCAUUGACGUUACCCGCAGAAGAAGCACCGGCUAACUCCGUGCCAGCAGCCGCGGUAAUACGGAGGGUGCAAGCGUUAAUCGGAAUUACUGGGCGUAAAGCGCACGCAGGCGGUUUGUUAAGUCAGAUGUGAAAUCCCCGGGCUCAACCUGGGAACUGCAUCUGAUACUGGCAAGCUUGAGUCUCGUAGAGGGGGGUAGAAUUCCAGGUGUAGCGGUGAAAUGCGUAGAGAUCUGGAGGAAUACCGGUGGCGAAGGCGGCCCCCUGGACGAAGACUGACGCUCAGGUGCGAAAGCGUGGGGAGCAAACAGGAUU
rnacentral:rRNA from 1 species